rnacentral:rRNA from 1 species
UUAGUUAAGUGAAGAAGGGCGCACGGUGGAUGCCUUGGCACUAGGAGCCGAUGAAGGACGGGACUAACACCGAUAUGCUUCGGGGAGCUGUAAGUAAGCUUUGAUCCGAAGAUUUCCGAAUGGGGGAACCCGCUAUCCGUUAUUGGAUAGUACGUAUUACUGAAUACAUAGGUAAUACGAGGCAGACCCGGGGAACUGAAACAUCUCAUUACCCGGAGGAAGAGAAAGCAAAUGCGAUUUCCUGAGUAGCGG